GGGGGCAAUAGGGGUCAAGCCCCACAGUACAUCCUGUCUGACCACCCCAGCACAGGUCUCCUGAGGACGCUGACAGAGCAAAGGGCGGUGGACCUUCCGCGCUGAGACCCAGCCUGUACCAGGGGAGCUGCCGUGUCGGCCUGAGCCCUGGGCCCGACCACGGGGCACCCACAGUUGACAGUCAACAGUACGAGGGUGGAGUAACGCAGGCAAGCGGCUCCAAAAGGACAACAUCCGAUGAUAUGAGCGCUUGGUGAACGGAAGGAUGGAGCAAUCAGCUGCAGUGCCGAAACCCUAUCUUGGAUGCUUCCCCGGUUGAGAAACAGUUUCUAAAUCAAGAGCAGCAAUGACCAAUCAAAGGCUGGCUCGAGAUUCAGCAAACUUGACCGAGAGGAGUCAUUUGAGAUGCAGACAGGUGUCGCCAUAGUUUCAUGCAUUAUAAGAGGCACAGAAAAUAUUAAAAGCCAGCUGGCUGAAAGACGGCCAAAAAUGGAACACAGACUCCCUUUGGUUCACCGAAGAUGACAUAUUGGAACAGCCAAUUUGCCGGAACACUUUAAUUCUGAAAGGAGGCAAAAUUAAUGAAUAUUCAAAGACCUAAGCAUGGAAGCAGAAGCCUUUUUCAUCUUCUGGAAAUGGUGUCCGGCCCAGGAGGACAUGCUUGUUUUUGUGUGGCCAGUACAGUUUGCAUCGGUCCACCCUAGGUCUUCUUAAUUAGCAUUUCCAGUCAUUGCUAAGUUUUCCAGGGCAAGAACCUUGACCUUCUCUUUGCAUAAAAGGCCACUGGAGUACGCAAGCUGGGGCUUCAUCAUUAUCGAAGACUUAACUAAGCUUGGCAUUGAGCCUGGAUUUCAGUUCUCCUUUUCCUUUCCUCAGUUAAAACAAGUACGAAGAUGGGUAAGAAAGUGUUUAUAAUGGGGCUGAGAAGACAGUUCAUUCAGAGGUUCAGUGUCGUGGCUUUUUGCCUGAACAAAUAAACGAAAGUGAAUUGCUGGACCCCGAGUUGCUAAAUUUAAAACAUGAACAUUUGACAUAAAAACAUAGCAAUAUACUAAAUGUGGUGGUCAUUUGCCUGGAAUUGAAGAGCAAGCCUCUAAUUGUUAAAGCUACUUUAUGUUCUACUAACAAAACACAUGUUUUAUUCCUCAGAACUCGAUCUUUAC